rnacentral:ncRNA from 1 species
GGAUAGGGGAGCUUGUGCGGCAGGCUGAGAGGGCAUUUACAAUGCCGACCCAUUGACCUGAUGCGGAUAAUGCCGCCGAAGGGAAAA